UGUAGCUAACUCUGCACCUUCUCUAUCUGAUGAAUGACUUAUUUCAUAUGGUCGUGAAACUCACUGCUGCCUUGAAUGUCGCCAACUCCCAUCUCUGAUUCUGCUACUUGUGAGAACAAGUGGAUGAAGCCUGCUGAGAUCCUGCAGCAGCAGGGACCUGAGGAACAUACAGGAAUGGUAUCGUUUAGAGUGGAGGUGGGUGGCUUCAACAUCCUGGCUCUUGACUUGACAGAAUCUGAAUCUUUCUGCUGCGAUUCUGCUGCAACUGUUCCACUCUGAAUAAAUUCAGUCAGUAGCUCAGCCUUGGCUUCCCAUAUCUAAGGUAGCUGCACUAGCUCCUUGCUUUCUAUAAUUAGAUCUUCUUUUAGUGAAUAUUGGUGUAUUUGCACAAAUAAAAGCAUUCCAGCAAAAUAUUGCACUAACCUCACCUGAAAGAGCCUUCCUCUCAUCUAGACGAAAAGAACAUUUCUAGACUUCAUGCUGGAAUGAAAGUCCUUAUGAAAAAGURUAGGCUGGACCUGGGAAUUUCCGAAUUGAUACACUACACAAAUAACAUUAUUUGCUAGUCAAAGCAUAAUGUCAAAUAAGAAUAAAAAAACCAAUGUCUAUCCUGUUUGCAGUUAAUGCUUUCUUUAUGAGAUACUGCUGAGAUAGCAAUACAGGGGAUUGUUUUGUCUUAUUGUAUCAGUGGAGCAUUGAGACGUACCACAGGCAAAAAUAUUGUGGCACGUAAUAUGUCUCAAUCACAUCCUGUUUGAACACUGAUAAAUAGGAAGUGCUGUGGAAUUUACCUCGGAAGGGACUGUGAUCUUCAAAAGUCAUUGGUUGUAGAACCAGUGUUUUUAUUAUAUUGCUGAAUACUUGUACCUAUGUGUAAAUUGGCAGCAAUGUGCUGUAUUUCUGCUUGAACACUGCAAAAUUUAAGAAGCUGAUAUUUACAAUCAUGAUGGCCAAAACAUGUAAGUUAUUGAUGCCAAAUGGGACAACUAGAGUUUGGUUUUGUGAUGUUCAAAAAUUACUGUUGUUUCCAGCUCUUGAAUGGAUAUGCACUGUAGCAAGA